GGAAGGGAGAGCAUGAUGAAGGAACAAGGUGCAGUGAUUCUCUGCAUGAAUGGAGAGACUGGCUUUAAUUUGGACAGAGUGUCUCUCUGCAGUGAGAGGAAGGAAGGCUGAAGGUGUGGGUGCAGAUAUGUGUUAACAGGAGGUGGGGUUGCAGCAUCCGAGAAAGUUAUCUUCUGCGCAGAAGGAUGAAGGAGGAAGAGUUGGAGUCUGAGGAUGGAGGCUCAGCCAGGAGACGGCAACAUCUACCCUCCCUCACUAACCACUUCUCAUCUGGACUGUCACUGUAGAAUGUGUGGGAUCCAGAAUCCUUCUAUUAAGAAUACCUUCAGGAGUCUAUGCAGAGACCACAGACAGGAAAUGUUCCUGACAAUCUCUCGUUAUGUGACGCCUUGUCACCUGCUUCACCUCCCCCAACCUGUAUAACUGUUGCAGUUCCAUUCCCUGCAGAAGGAAACAAGAAGGAAGGGCCAAUGAGAUUCCUAACCUCCAGUCCUAGAAGAUGCCGGGAAACCCGUGCCCUUUGCCAGCCUCGUGAUUUCAUAAUAACUUGUGAGUGCUUCAUGCUUUGUUUUGUUUUGUUUUUUUCCUCAUCCCUUUUGUCUUUCUUCUGAUGGCCUUUACGAGUUGUUUGGGAACAGAUCUUUAUAGACACUGUGCUAGAGUGUGGAUGUCCUAGGAAGAGUCACCAAAGCACCUCAAACUGCAGACCACUAUGUCACUCCAUGCUUUACACGUUUGGUUAAAUGUGUCUUUUCAAUGGCUGUGCUGUAUUUGCAACACAAAAACAAGGGCCAGCAAGUCAGUAUUCCCCAGGUCUUUAUCUGGCACUUACUGUUAAGGUGGUGAAGGCUGAUGGAAGGCAUUCUCAAUGAGUGCUUUGGAAGAAUGAGAAGAGGACAUAGUGGGGAUGACAGUGCCUUACUGCAGAUCUGCAGUAAACCCUGCCAUGCCUAAUAGACCCCUAGAUUGAAAUUUGACAAGCUGUGUCUCCCCCAUCAGGUUGGGUGGAUGGUUGAGUCUGAGGGAUAUUCUCUGCCUUAUUAGAAGGUUGCUCAUGAACUGAAUGGUGGUUUUAAUUAAAUCCAGUAGGUUGAGAAGAGUGGUUUGGCAGUUUCAAUUGAUUUAUUGUGUUUGUGACAUCUGGGUCUGAUUUAUUGUAUUGACUUGCAGAACUGUUUUUGGACUCUCACCCUGCGUAUUUUCAUUCUGGUUUGGGGGACUCACAGACUAUAAAUAUGUAACAUUUUCAUUCUACUGUGAUUUUAGUUUUCUCUUUGCAUUCUUAUUUUGGUAAGAUAGUGAACUAUUGAAUUCAUCUUGUUAAAAAUGUGACUGUUCGAAAGCAUGAGGUUUUGUGGGGUUUCUGUAUAUGAACAGGGCUUGAAAAGUAGUGCUGGGUUGAAGUUCAUUAUCAUUAUCCCACCUAAGUUAGUGGGAGGAGAGAGUAAGAGAGAUUGACAGGUUUUUUCUUUUAAUUCGAAAAGAAUGUUAGUCUAUAAUUGACAGACUGCUCGAUGUUCUUAUGGCUUUCUAAAUUUUAAAGUUUGGAUUUUAGAUAUAAAUGUGAAUACCAAGUUACAGAUAGUUUAUUUUUAUUUUAUUUUAUUUUUGCUUUUUUUUUAUGGCCACACUCGCAUUAUAUGGAGGUUCCCAGGCUUGGUGUUAAAUUGGAGCUAUAGCCAUCAGCCUACACCACAGCCACAGCAACAUCAGAUCCGAGCCACAUCUGCCACCUACACCACAGCUCAUGGCAAUGCUGGUUCCUUAAGCCACUGAGUGAGACCAAGGAUCGAACCCAAGUCCUCAUGGAUGCUAGUCAGAUUCGUUUCUGCUGAGCCACGAUAGGACCUCCAGAAAGUUUGUUUUUAAUUCUGAAAGUAGUAAAACUGUUCGGCUGGCUAUUAGUGUCCCGUCCCCCUUCCCCUCCCGCCCCGACACACACCCACAUCUUACUGUAGGCAAGUCAGUUUUAGAAUGUCUCCACUUCAGAUUCCACAUAGCAUGUGCUAGAAGGCAUGGGAAAGAAGGGAGAGCAGAGAAGGGUCAAGCUGUACUUCCUGGCAGAGGAGGAGGGCAGAGAAGCAAGCAGGUCUCAAUCAUCUUGAAUGCUUUGCUGGUGUAGGAAUAAGUGCUUGCACAUCUGAGAAACUGUAAUGAUGGGCUCAGUUCCCAGCAUUAGAGUUCUCUCUUUGCUACAGCUGAGGUCACUUAGCCCCUACCUGAACUCCCAGCCAAAGUUCUGGAACAAAUCAGGGAAUUUAAGGGAGUCUAGGUAAAUCACUCAUGCAAAUCAAUUUCAGGUCAGCCUGUGUCAUUGACCUUCUGCCUAAGUAGUGGAGGCCGGACACUACUGCUGUUCUUUGGCGUCAGCCUCUAAGUGAAGUUUAAUCCACUUAGAAUGGCUUCCUAGUUUUCAUUCUUGAACCCACAUCUCUAGCUCUGUAGAUUAUCUUGUUUAUCUUCAUAGAUCCUUUCCAGAAUACCCAGUGUACUGCCUUGAGCACAAAGUUGGGACAUACCUGAUAUUAACCACCUAUUGCUUCCCCCACUGAUGACCACAUACAGUCCAGAUGUUUCUCUAUGCACUACAGCUGCGUCUCCUGUCAUCUACCCCCAUUAAAUAGGCUCACUCCUACAUAGGUCAUUAUAUCUCUUAAUGCAUAACAUGAUCUUUGGUCUUUCUUUAAAACUCUGGUUUUUUAAAUUUCCUUUUGUGGGGUUAUCAGUUUGAAUAGAAAAUGAUUGCUUGAAGCUAUAUAUGGUUGAUUUGAGAGCUUUUACUUUAUUCUCCGUGGUACCAAGUUGCUUCACAUAGCUCAUGAACUUCUUUGGUUUUCUGGGAACCAUAUAAUUCUCCAAAUUGGUUAAGAUAGGAUGUAUGAAAGGAAACUCAAUCACAGGAGGCACUUACUGAACAUCCACCUAUAUUUCAAACAUAAACAGGCAUGCAUUUUUAGCCCAUCAUGUAUUCUGCUUGGAAACACCUCAUCCAUAUCAAACUUAAGGAGGAAUAAGAAAUAAUGCCAUUUAAAAAAAAAAAGCUCUAUGUACAUUAAACUCACCAUUUAAGUAUGCAAUUUAGUGAUUUUUCAAUAAAAUUUUACAAAAUUGUGCAGGCUUCACCAAAAUCCAAGUUCAGAAUAUUUUAUCACACUGCAUCUCAAAGAGAUGGUUCUGGUUUUAUGUGUAAAUUAUUUUAAGUUAAUCAGAGAAUGCUAUUUUGUAAGUUAGGAAGAAAGUACAAAGAAUUUUAUAUGUUUAAAAAUACCGUACCAGAGAGCUCUCACGGGUAGUUAAUUCAGAUGACCUUGUUGACCUAAUCCAGGGACUAGGCUGUGCAAUGCUGCCUAUCUUCCCAAAAAAGUUCUGAAAGAAUUUUGAAAAUAGUUCAUUCUAAAGUCCCAUAAGUCUAUACUGGGCAAAAUCAUAUUAUCACAUAUUAGAGAGAUGGAAUGAACUCGGACUGUACCCGCAAGGUAAACACAGAUUUUUGAAGCCACAUUUCCUAAUAGACUCCAAAGAGCUGGCCUUGAAAGUACAGAAUGAAGGGAAGCUGGAAAGAGCAUUCACAUCGGUGGUAAGUGUGUGUUUCUUCACUGUCAAAGAUAAUGGUCCUAAGGUUGUUCUUCAUUUGUAAUCAUACUCAGUGGGCUAGAGAGCAUACUGGCAAGAUCUCAGAUGUUUAAAACUUUGUCCAUGAUCUAGAUGUGAGCUCAGUGAAGCAUCCCUAAUGAGAAACUCAAAAAUUCAUUUGAAUUAUUCCCCAAAAAAAAGACUUACUGUUUGCUUUUACUUUCACUUAAGAUACUGUGACACCAAAGACACAGUGGUGAUCAUGACAAAAAGUCUGGUUUGGCAGCUUCUCCAGUCUCGUUUACAAGUGUUUUUCAAACAGUCAUUUAUGAACAAGACUCUCUUAGACCAUAGAAGGAAAUGCAUAGUUAGAUGUUCAACCUUAAAGGGUUUAUAAUCUUAAAGUUGACGAACUGGACAAAUUAUCAGAGUCAAUUCUUACUGCAUCCUUUGAAUAAAUGUGAUAGUGAUUGGAUAUAAAUGAAAUUUAGUAAGAUGGAUACUUAGUGAUUUCUGAUAAAUAUGGUCAUAACACACACUUCCUAAACCCUCCAUCCCUUUCCUUUAUAUUUCCUCUAAGGAAACAGAAAGUUUGCUGUUACUGAGCUGAUCAGAGAAGUAGUAGUCUCUUAAUUUACUGGCUUAACAGUGAAUUUUCA
rnacentral:lncRNA from 1 species